rnacentral:rRNA from 1 species
CCUACGGAGGCAGCAGUGGGGAAUAUUGGACAAUGGGCGCAAGCCUGAUCCAGCCAUACCGCGUGUGUGAAGAAGGCCUUUUGGUUGUAAAGCACUUUAAGCGAGGAGGAGGCUCUUGAGGAUAAUACCCUUGAUGAGUGGACGUUACUCGCAGAAUAAGCACCGGCUAACUCUGUGCCAGCAGCCGCGGUAAUACAGAGGGUGCGAGCGUUAAUCGGAAUUACUGGGCGUAAAGCGCGCGUAGGCGGCUUGUUAAGUCGGAUGUGAAAUCCCCGGGCUCAACCUGGGCACUGCAUUCGAUACUGGCAAGCUAGAGUAUGGGAGAGGAAGGUAGAAUUCCAGGUGUAGCGGUGAAAUGCGUAGAGAUCUGGAGGAAUACCGAUGGCGAAGGCAGCCUUCUGGCCUAAUACUGACGCUGAGGUGCGAAAGCAUGGGGAGCAAACAGGAUUAGAUACCCUGGUAGUCCAUGCCGUAAACGAUGUCAACUAGCCGUUGGGACCUUGAGUCUUUAGUGGCGCAGCUAACGCGAUAAGUUGACCGCCGUGGGGAGUACGGUCGCAAGACUAAAACUCAAAAUGAAAUUGGACGG